rnacentral:tRNA from 1 species
AACUGGCUAGUCUAAUUAGUUGGACAUUUAUUUUGAAAAUAAAAGGUAAUAGGUCAUUCUAUUGCUAGUUU